rnacentral:snRNA from 1 species
AUAUUUACCUGGCGGGGGACACCAUGAUUCCAAGGCAGAGGCUCACACCCACUGCACUCGGGAUGUGCUGGUCCCAAAGGAUUGAUCCCCAGACGUAGAAAACAUGGGUGUGUAAUUUGUGGUAGAGAAGUAUAAGAGUUCCCUCUUCUCUGUG